rnacentral:rRNA from 1 species
CCUACGGGAGGCAGCAGUGAGGAAUAUUGGUCAAUGGACGGAAGUCUGAACCAGCCAUGCCGCGUGCAGGAAGACGGCUCUAUGAGUUGUAAACUUCUUUUAUAAAGGAAUAAAGUGAGGCACGUGUGCCUUUUUGUAUGUACUUUAUGAAUAAGGAUCGGCUAACUCCGUGCCAGCAGCCGCGGUAAUACGGAGGAUCCGAGCGUUAUCCGGAUUUAUUGGGUUUAAAGGGAGCGUAGAUGGGUUGUUAAGUCAGUUGUGAAAGUUUGCGGCUCAACCGUAAAAUUGCAAUUGAUACUGGCAGUCUUGAGUACAGUUGAGGUAGGCGGAAUUCGUGGUGUAGCGGUGAAAUGCUUAGAUAUCACGAAGAACUCCGAUUGCGAAGGCAGCUUACCGGCGCCCGACUGACGCUGAGGCACGAAAGCGUGGGGAUCGAACAGGAUUAGAUACCCUUGUAGUC